rnacentral:rRNA from 1 species
GAGAACUCUGAUGCAUUGAUGCCGCGUGAGUGAAGAAGGCCUUUGGGUUGUAAGCUCUUUUGUAGGGGAAGAUAAUGACUGUACCCUAAGAAUAAGGUCCGGCUAACUUCGUGCCAGCAGCCGCGGUAAUACGAAGGGACCUAGCGUAGUUCGGAAUUACUGGGCGUAAAGCGCGCGUAGGCCGUUGAGUUAGUUAAUUGUGAAAUCCCAAAGCUUAACUUUGGAACUGCAAUUAAAACUGCUCGACUAGAGUUUGAUAGAGGAAAGCGGAAUACAUAGUGUAGAGGUGAAAUUCGUAGAUAUUAUGUAGAACACCAGUUGCGAAGGCGGCUUUCUGGGUCAACACUGACGCUGAGGCGCGAAAGUAUGGGUAGCAAAGAGGAUUAGAUACCCUCGUAGUCCAUACCAUAAACGAUGAUUGCUAGAUGUUGAAAAUUUAUUUUCAGUAUCGCAGCUAACGCAUUAAGCAAUCCGCCUGGGGAGUACGACCGCAAGGUUAAAACUCAAAUGAAUUGACGGGGAACCGCACAAGCGGUGGAGCAUGUGGUUUAAUUCGAAGAUACGCGCAGAACCU